GACCAAUAAGCAUUGAACAGACUGAACAUGUAGCUCAACUUGAAUGUCCUUCUUUUGACCAAAAGUCCUGCCAAACAUCACUUUUUCUGCUCAUGAGUUCCAUUUUCCUUUUCUCACAGCCUACGGCAAUGAACGGUCCACCUACGUCAACACCUUCCUGUAAUCAACGGUGGCGUCAUUACGUCGACCAGCGUAUCGCUCAAAGACUCUGCAGUAACCCAAC